ensembl:lncRNA
AUUUUAAAAGACUCUUAAGAAAUUCAGACCCAGAUCGAGACCCAGAUGUAAGUACUGAGAUGAAGACCCUGAGCUCUGAAACUAAUAAAUGCAGACAAAGACCAAGAUCCAGACUCUAAGCAAUCACAUCCAGACACCAUCCCAGACAGAUUUGAGCUUGAGCACUGAGAUCUAGAAUGAUGAUCUGAGUAUCUCAGAUGCAGAAAUAAUAAUUGCAACAUAGACCACGACUCACACUCAUACCAUUACCCUUACAACAAGAUCCAGGCUGUGAACGCUGAGACCAAGACCAAGAUGAAGACACUAAAUAAUGAGCACCAGGUAAAGACUUUGACCACUAAGACCAAGAUCAAGAGCCACUAUGAGAAUGAAACCCAGUCCUAGACCAAGAUACUUAGCAAUCUGCAACAAGACCAAGCCCAAGCCACUGAGAACUGCCCCCAGAACAACAGUCUGACCACUGAGAUCCAUAGAGUCACAAAGAGCCACACUCUGAACACUAAACCUGGUUCAAGAACAAGACUCUAAGCCCCAAGACCUAGAGCAAGACUCGACAAACUGAGAGUUUUUGGUGUCUCCAAAUGUCAAGACGCCAAGACCACUUCCAUAAAAAUGCAACACACACCAGCUUUGGGCUCUUUCAUUGCACACUUUCACUGUGCAGACAUGCAGCAGCAUGAUCUCACUUAGAUUGCUUUUUGUCUUAGAUGUUGAUGAAUGCGAUAGCAAGGAACAUGUGUGUGGUGAAGAUGGCACUUGUUCCAACACUGAAGGGAGUUACUCUUGCCGGUGUAAAUCUGGUUACAGUAACUACGGCAACAAUCGGACUAAAUGCACAGAGUUGAAAUGUAACAGGCUCAACGCCACAUCUGAAAAGGAUGUAGCGGCGAUGGGCGGU